rnacentral:sRNA from 1 species
GCCUGUAGUCCCAGCUACAUGGGAGGCUGGUAUAGGAGGAUCGCUUGAAUCCAGGAGUUCUGGGCUUAGUGCACUAUGCCGAUUGAACACUAAGUUUGGCAUCAAUAUGGUGACCUCAUGGAACUGGGGAUGGGGGGGCAUUAGGUUGCCUAAGGAGGGGUGAAACGACCCAGGUCAAAAACAGAGCAGGUCAAAACUCCGAUCCUGAUCAGUCUGCUUUGCUUUACAACCCAGGAGAACAGCCCAGAUAUGGAACCAUCCACAUUGUGCUGU